rfam:Necator americanus N_americanus-1.0_Cont610.26, whole genome shotgun sequence.
GAAGCAGUGGUUCAGUGGUAGAAUGCACGCUUGCCAGGUGGGCGGCCCGGGUUCGAUUCCCGGCCGAUGCA